AAUAGAGUUAACUUUAUAAUAGAGUUCAAUUCUACUCCAGUGGUACUCUAUUUUAAAGUAAAAAAUAGAGUGAUGAACAAAAAAUAUAUAAGUUACUCUAUAUUUGGAGUAAAUCUAUUUUUUUACUCUAUUAUAGAAUGGAAAAUAGAGUAUCAUUGGAACAUUUUUACUCCAAAACUCUAUUUUAGAGUGGAAAAUAGAGUGGGGUUGGAGAUGCUCUAAGGUAUGAUCGGUCGCACGAUUAAACAUGUACGGUAAAUUUUUUAUAAAUUAAUAAUAUUAGGACUUUGAAAUUUUAUUAAUUUAUAAAACAAAAAAAAAGUGAUUUUAUCGUAUAUCUAUUAAUUAAAUUUUUUAAUUCAAGUUUUAUGCUAUUUGGCUUAUAUGAAAUAUGUUUCAUAGAAUUUAAAUGUAGUUUAAGAUAUAAUUUUACUAAAUAUUAUAAAAUAUAUAUUGAAGUGUUAAGAAAAAAUAUAGAUGAAUUUCAUUGUGAAUAUAAGACAAUGUUUUGUUUGCACUUAUAUAAACCUUAUAUAUAAAUUAUAAAUUUAUGAUUUUAAUGGGAUUAUUACGUAGGAUUUUCUAGAAAAUUAUUAUCUUAUAUUUAUUGAUUAGUGUCAUAUAUAUAUAUUAAUUGCAAACAUUUUUUUAUUACUAUAUUAAGUUUCCAAGAGAGAAUAAACACUAUUUUAUAUAUAUAGAUAUCUAUCAAUAUGUUGAAUACUCUUUUCGCAUUUAUGUGUUUUUGGUAAAACCCAAAAAACAUAUCUCCCUGGCCCAUUACUCAUGAUUACGGGAAUUUAUUUUGUGCCUGAAAAUGAAAAUCUUCACCCACUAAAGGCCUUUUCAGUUUUUAUCGUCUUCGUUGCUUCACAUACUUUAACUACACCGCCUCACAGAACCUCAAUUGUAAAUCGUCUACAUUCACAAUACUAACGAAGCUUUUCAUUUACGUCUUUUAAUCUACACCUCUCCUCACAUUUAAUUAUCAUGCACCUCCUCAUAUGUUCUCCCGAUUCUUUAAUCCUAAUAAAUAAGGAUGGUUACAACCACAAAUCUCACCACUUCCUCAAACUCUUUCCUAUAUAUCGAUUUGAAACUCAGACAACAUCAAUGGCAUCCUCCAUAUCUAAUAUGAAGUAUGUCAUUGCCGGCAGACAGUUGUUACUGUGGGCGGUGGCGGUGAAUUACAUGCAGAAGAUGAAACCGCCGGCAAUAGAUCCGGAUCGGAGAAGAACAAGCUCCAAGCUGUUCUAGCAAAACAGAUCAAUGAAGGAGGUACACAAGUGGUUCCUUGCUAGAACUGUGACUCACAUCACAUAUUUAAUUUUGAUUUCUAUUGAGAAUUCAUCAAACUUCUUAGCCUCUUCUACUUUCGUAUAUUAAUAUUUUUGAUCCCUGUAUAAUCUGGAUGAUGAUGCUUUUGAUUAAGAAACUCAUCAUAUAUACAGUACUACAUGUUUGUUCAUAGGUAGCUUCAUUUGUGAGCAUUAGCAAUAAACAUUACAAUUGUUAGAACAGAUCAUUUGUGUUAUAUGAUUGUCUCAAAUAUGAAGCAUAUCUAUCAUGUGAUGAAAGAAUCUUCGUUUUGCCUUA